AGGAUCAUUAUAGAGAGCUUCGGCUCCCUGUAUGUCAUUACCAUAUUGAUAUUCCUUUCCAUGUUGCUUCCAUCAUUUAGAAUGUGGAUCUAUCUUUAGGUUUGAUUCUUGGUGGUGGGAGGAUUCUUAUACUACUUUUUUGCUUAGGCUUUUAAUCUGUCUGAAUAUGAGGGCAAAUAUAAUAAAACUUUCAACAACGGAUCUCUUGGCUCCUGCAUCGAUGAAGAACGCAGCGAAAUGCGAUAAUUAAUGUGAAUUGCAGAAUUCCGUGAAUCAUCGAGUCUUUGAACGCACAUUGCGCCUCAUGGUAUUCCGUGAGGCAUGCCCAUCUCAGCGUUAGUCAAAAUCAUCAAACCUUAGUAUUGUUCUGAAGUUUGGAUAUCAAGGAAGCCAUUACUAUCAUUGUGAUUGCUCUUUGGAAAUUUAUAGGUCUUCAAGUUUCUGUUUAUAGAACGUGAUGAAAUACUUCGUUCUUUGGUAGUUUACUUGUAUGGUCCAAAAAUAUGUAUGGUAUUUUUAUGAAUUUAACCUGAGAUUGGGUAGGGAUACCCGCUGAACUUAA
rnacentral:rRNA from 1 species